GAUGAACGCUGGCGGCGUGCCUAAUACAUGCAAGUCGAGCGAAUGGAUUGAGAGCUUGCUCUUAUGAAGUUAGCGGCGGACGGGUGAGUAACGCGUGGGUAACCUGCCCAUAAGACUGGGAUAACUCCGGGAAACCGGGGCUAAUACCGGAUAACAUUUUGAACCGCAUGGUUCGAAAUUGAAAGGCGGCUUCGGCUGUCACUUAUGGAUGGACCCGCGUCGCAUUAGCUAGUUGGUGAGGUAACGGCUCACCAAGGCAACGAUGAGUGGCCGACAUGAGAGGGUGAUCGGCCACACUGGGAAUGAGACACGGCCCAGACUCAUACGGGAGGCAGCAGUAGGGAAUCUUCCGCAAUGGACGAAAGUCUGACGGAGCAACGCCGCGUGAGUGAUGAAGGCUUUCGGGUCGUAAAACUCUGUUGUUAGGGAAGAACAAGUGCUAGUUGAAUAAGCUGGCACCUUGACGGUACCUAACCAGAAAGCCACGGCUAACUACGUGCCAGCAGCCGCCGCAG
rnacentral:rRNA from 1 species